rnacentral:piRNA from 1 species
UGCUGCUCAGUGUAUCUGGUUCAGUUUGGU